CUGAGCUAAGACGGCAGAGAGGCUCUCUGUUUUACAAGGAACUUUUAACAAAGUCCAACAAAGCCACAGUGCUUCUGAAAGCCAGCUCUGUUUAAAUUGUACCCAGUGUGCAUAUGCUGACUUAU